GAAACUUUUCAUGAAGCCGGGGGCUUUGGAUCACAGUGCCAAGUGGGCCAAUUUUGGUAAGCAGAACUGGCGCUGUGGGAUGAACCAAACGUCGAGUUAAGGCGCCUAAAUCGUCGCUCAUGUGAAACCAUGAAAGGCGUUGGUUGCUUAAGACAGCAGGACGGUGGCCAUGGAAGUCGGAAUCCGCUAAGGAGUGUGUAACAACUCACCUGCCGAAGCAACUAGCCCUGAAAAUGGAUGGCGCUGUAGCGACGAUGCCUAUACUCGACCGUCAACGGCAAAGAUGACUAGACGGGCAACCGUUUGGUCGUUACGCCUUGACGAGUAGGAGGGCCGCGGCGACGUGCGCAGAAGGGUCUGGGCGUGAGCCUGCCUGGAGCCGUCGUCGGUGCAGAUCUUGGUGGUAGUAGCAAAUACUCCAGCGAGGCCCUGGAGGACUGAUGUGGAGAAGGGUUUCUUGUGAACAGCUGUUGCACAAGAGUCAGUCGGUCCUAAGCCCUAGGAGAAAUCCGAAGCGAUGGGUUGCCGUUAACUCUGUGUGAAGGCACCCUUCUGGGCGAAAGGGAAUCCGGUUCCUAUUCCGGAACCUGGCAGUGGAACCGUUCCAAUUCGGGCCCUCAUCGGACUCGUCAGGGCAACCUGAAUAGACCCGGAGACGCCGGCGGGAGGUUGGGGGAGAGUUGUCUCUUCUCUAUAAGCGAUCGAGUUCCCUGGAAACUUCUAGCAAGGAGAUAGGGUUUGGAUCGCGAAGAGCACUGCAGUUACGGCAGUGUCCCAAUCUUCCCCCCGGACCUUGAAAAUCCGGGUGAGGGCCACGAGGAACCCCACGCCAGACCGUACCCAUAUCCGCAGCAGGUCUCCAAGGUGCACAGCCU
rnacentral:rRNA from 1 species